CCUACGGGCGGCAGCAGUGAGGAAUAUUGGUCAAUGGACGAGAGUCUGAACCAGCCAAGUAGCGUGAAGGAUGACUGCCCUAUGGGUUGUAAACUUCUUUUAUAUGGGAAUAAAAUGUUCCACGUGUGGGAUUUUGUAUGUACCAUAUGAAUAAGGAUCGGCUAACUCCGUGCCAGCAGCCGCGGUAAUACGGAGGAUCCGAGCGUUAUCCGGAUUUAUUGGGUUUAAAGGGAGCGUAGGUGGAUUGUUAAGUCAGUUGUGAAAGUUUGCGGCUCAACCAUAAAAUUGCAGUUGAAACUGGCAGUCUUGAGGACAGUAGAGGUGGGCGGAAUUCGUGGUGUAGCGGUGAAAUGCUUAGAUAUCACGAAGAACUCCGAUUGCGAAGGCAGUUCACUGGACUGCAACUGACACUGAGGCUCGAAAGUGUGGGUAUCAAACAGGAUUAGAUACCCCAGUAGUC
rnacentral:rRNA from 1 species